rnacentral:rRNA from 1 species
AUUGAACGCUGGCGGCAGGCCUAACACAUGCAAGUCGAGCGGAUGAAGGGAGCUUGCUCCUGGAUUCAGCGGCGGACGGGUGAGUAAUGCCUAGGAAUCUGCCUGGUAGUGGGGGAUAACGUCCGGAAACGGGCGCUAAUACCGCAUACGUCCUGAGGGAGAAAGUGGGGGAUCUUCGGACCUCACGCUAUCAGAUGAGCCUAGGUCGGAUUAGCUAGUUGGUGGGGUAAAGGCCUACCAAGGCGACGAUCCGUAACUGGUCUGAGAGGAUGAUCAGUCACACUGGAACUGAGACACGGUCCAGACUCCUACGGGAGGCAGCAGUGGGGAAUAUUGGACAAUGGGCGAAAGCCUGAUCCAGCCAUGCCGCGUGUGUGAAGAAGGUCUUCGGAUUGCAAAGCACUUUAAGUUGGGAGGAAGGGCAGUAAGUUAAUACCUUGCUGUUUUGACGUUAACAACAGAAUAAGCACCGGCUAACUUCGUG